CUGCUGCUUGUCCAGACCAUGUAUAGAAGCAGCAAAACAAGAGAGUGCUUUUCAAAAUAAGACCAAACGCAACUCAGCUUGGAAGAAGCUACCACCAAUACUGAAGAUGCUUUACACAUCUUGCGGACUGUGCAAACAAGAUGAAAAUUGGGAGAACAUGAGGGAACAGACUAACAUGUCGAAGAGGCAAAGUGAAGUAUCAAAGUGCUGUGAAGCAAACAAGAUCCAAAACACCAACCAGUCUACUAUAGAAAGCCAGAGUUGCUUUAUCCUUGAACCUACCAGAGGGUGACAUUCUUCUAGCAGAGGAAGAGGUGGGAAGCAGCAACACUCCACUGGCUCCUCCCUCCUUCAACUGUCACCUGGCAGAAGCUAUUCCAUCAGGCGACAGCUAAGAGAAAAUUGGGAAGCGGGGCACUUUACUGGAAUUAGUAAGAGACCACAAGCAAGGUCCUUGGGCUUCUCUACCAGAACUAAUUCCUCUGGUCCUAAUAAGAAUUUUGUAACUUUAAGAACCAAUACCUGAGUUUGCUUGUCUUCCUCUUCCAUUUUUAAUUUUAUGCCAUUAACUUUUAGACAGUAAGUCCUAGAACAGGAGCUGUCUUGUUUUAUUUAUCUUAUGUAAGCCACCACCAUUACAGAUAAUGUGAAGAGGAUGACAAACCAUGUUGAUUGAUGCCUUCUUGGUUUGUACUAACUUUUCAAUAUGAAGCAAGUCAAAUAAAGUGCUACCAUAAUAUUACUAUUUUGCACUGAUACUUUAGCAAUAUUUUUUUUAAUCCUAGAGAUACAGUAGCAUGAGCUACGGCUUAGUUUCUGAUAGCAGUGUUGUAAAAAUAAAGAUGGCUACUCUUCUUCACAAUCUGAAACAUGCAUUGUAUUCUCUUCCCUGUCUUUGUACUUUCAGCGGGAUGUUAUUGUCAUCUUCCAACUGUUUAAACAAUGCAGUACCCAAGUGCAAAGCAUUACCUAAUCUCACAGAACAAUACUAACAAACAUUAAUUUAUGCAGCUUUAAGCUCCUUUCUUUUUUGCUGGCUUAGAAAAAUUAAUCAAAUGUCUGAUUGACAAUUGACAUAAACAUUGUCUUGGACUGAAUACUUAAAAUUGAAUGUCAGAUUGUCAAAACAAUUCUCAAUUAAAGAACAGGACAAUAUUAAGUGGGACAAAUAGCUACUGUGUUUUGUUCUGUUUGUGAAGAAAGGAGUCAAAUAUAAUGAAGUCUACUCCUCUGUCAUUGAUAAAGUAUUUUUACGUCUAAUGUUUCUGUUUGUUCCUUUCUGUUUUUUGCUAUCAAAGCAGAUGUCCUUAAAUGAUUGUGACAAAAUGGGAAAGCUUCACAUUCCUUAAUUGUUUCUAUUUUUAUUAGCACAUAAAAGGCAAAAUCCUCCCGGUGAAAGAAAUGGAAACAAUUAAAAUUCAGAACUGAACCUGUACCACCUGCUCUUUACAUGCAAUCUCAGCUUCUGCGUACAUAAUGCCUACAAGAAAAUGAACAGGAACUGGCUUGCCUCCUGUUUCAGAAGGAUGGACUGCAUUAUUCUUUCCUGCAGGCUGAUAACUUAUGUCUAAAACAGAUGCAAUAACCAGACCGUCCUGCAAAAGUACAAUCCAGUUGGUGGUAUCUCCUGCUGAGCAGCUGUCCAAAACCAAUAAAUAGUUCCUUCUGCUGUGAUGAAACAGCGGUUUUAUGUCAUCGAUUCAGAUAUUGAUAGAAUCUCAUUUUUGCUGAUAUGGUAUUACAAAGGUCUCUCUGCAUCCUGACACACCACUAUUAGUGAAAGGUUCCCCCUGCAAAACUGUAUAAAAUUUGACAGGAGCACUGCAAACAGAAAGGCAGGCUCCUCUACCCGUUUUUUUAGUCUCUCCAGAAAGCAGCACCAAGAAUCAAUGUAAUCGGCAGAACCGACGCAUCUUGUAAAUAUCAGCCUCAUCUGCAGAAGCCAACUUUAUCCUCUCUUGUCUAAUGAGCCA